UUUUGUAUCUUACUUCAUUCAUGUACAUGCUGUUUUCAUAUCAAUACAUAGUAGAGUUAUUAUAUUGGCAAAUUGGUAAUUCAUCCAAUGAAUACUGAUGUUUGUUUCUGGAAAUUCUCUUUUCUGUUCUAUAUGUUUGUUUCACGUGAUCAUUAACACGUUCAUUUUCUUUUAAAUUAGCUUCAAAUUUAAAAGGAUGAUAUUUGGUCUUACUAUACCUAAUUAAAUUUCACAAUUAAUUUCUAGUCUUACCCUAAUUAUGAAUUAUGUACCGAUCAACCGAUUGGACUCAAGUAGAUAAUGAGUUUUAGUUAAAUACAAAUUGGUUGGAAGUACCUGAGUUCGAAUAUUAUUUAGACCAUCAUUGGAUAUACUUUACAAACCUCUUAAUCGAAUUUUGGAUUAUCAAAAACUCAUUUUUCUUGAAAACCGAAGGGAAAAGAAAAGAAAAAGGUAUAAUUUUGUACUGCCUAGUCAUAUCAAUUUCCUUAUACUCAACUACAACUAAGACAAAAACACAUUUUAAUGGUCAAAAUACAAUAUUGUACCUGUUUUAUGGUGCUCAAAUAAUUUUUUUAUUAUUGUAUAUCACAAUCUGAUUCAUGAGCAACCUAUAAUUUAAUCAAAUAAUAUGAUGGUAAACAUAAUUUUAUAGAGGGGCUAGUUGCAUCCACAUUCAUACCCUACACAAGCUAAUUUUGAUCGUAACAAUAUUUCAGGUCCUUGUGCUGCUGAAUAGUGAAGUUGAGUUGAGAAAGCAAUUAAAAUGAAACCAAAGACUGGUUUUGAACUCAUUCUGAAUUAUUCUAGUCAGUGUAAUGAGAAAAAAUUGAAAAAUGAUUCAAGUGCAGGUGCAAAUGCAGCUUCUAGAGUGAACACAAAGUUUUCUGCCUGUGAUCCCCUAUCUGAAAUAGUUUGGUCUCCAGAUAAAGGUUAUAGUCUUAAAUGUGUUGAUUCAAGUUUUACAAACAAAAAUAUCUCUCUUUUCCAAGAUGUUGAACCUAGCAGUAUGGUUCUUGCUCUGCUACAAAGUGUUACUUGUACCACAGAUAAACCUAUAGAUGACGUUUUCGUACAACCUCUUGCUGUCAUAUGCGCGAAGAGCAAUGUUUCUUCCAGUGAUACUCCUGUUAAGCAUCCAACAAGUUAUUCAGCUGUCAUCAUUCCAGAAUGUAAACCAUAUCAAGAACAUGAUGCAGAAUCUAGUGCUAAUUUGGAGAAAAUGAACUCUGCAAGAGGAACACCUAAUUUGGCAAAUUAUCUAAAGGAGAAUUUAAUGAGCCAUUGGGAGAAGGAGAAGAAUAUUUGUGCUCAAGCCAACAUUGAAACAGCUAAAAUAUGUAAGAUCAUGGAAAAGGAAAACAAAUCUUCUACUAUUUCAGGUAGGAUCAAUCGAAGGCCAUUAGGUAGUUUACUAGUUCCAGAAAGUGAAUCCAAACCUAGCAUGGAACAAAACCCUUCACCAAGAAAACAUUGCAAAGAAGGCAUGGAUACUAGAGUUGAACACCUGAUUGAAGAUAAAGGUUCUGGUGCUCUAGGAACAUAUUUAAUAUCAUCCGGCAUUAGACGUUCGAAAAAAAUGGAACUAGCUGCAGAAAAGGAAUUAAAAAAUUUCAACUAUGAAGCUACUUCUGCAGCAAAAAGCAGAAUUAGUGUUUUAAAGGAGGAGAAUGACAGUCAUUUAAGUUGUGAAAACUAUCACAGUACUGAGUUGUUUUUAUCAAGUAGGAAGAGAUGCAAACAACAAGUGAUACUUGGGAGUAAAAAAGUCAAAAUGGAAAUUCAAGAAACUUCAUAUUCUAAAUCCUAUGUUAAAAGGGAUAGCUCAUUCACGAGCUUGUUUUCAAACAUGAUGAAAGGAUACUUACAAUCUAGUCAAGAAGAGAAUAAGUCUUUACCUCUUGCUCAUGAAAAUCGUGAUCACCGCCUUCUACAGCCUCAUAAAGAUCAAGAUCAAAAGCUUAAAAAUUCCUUCAAAUCCUAUUUUAAGUCCACACAUUGUCAGAGUGUUGAGAAUUUUGGAACAAUAAUGUCUCAUCAAGAGGAAGAUGAUGCUGGUGCUUCCUUACAGCUUCAGAUUAGGCCUAUAAAUUUUCUCAACAGUCAUGAAGACUUGAAAAAUAACACAUUAGAGAAUGAAAAUUGUUACAACAUGGUGCUUAGUAAGGAGAAAGAAGGAGUGGCUUUACAUUCACCAAGUAGACAAAAUAAAAACAAUAAUGAGAAUGUUGAGUCCUUGGAAUUGUAUGAGAGAAAGGAAAUUGGUCACAAAAAUGAUACUACGGAAGAUCUGUGGAUAACUCGCUUUUCACCAAAAUCAAUAGUUUCUGAUAACCUUACUGAGAGAGGUGGUUUUCAAACUACUUCCACUUAUUUCUCAAUGCUUACAGAAAAACACAUUUCUCAUCUGAACAACUGCAAGGUUGAAGAGACAAAAGAGCAAUCUGGUGAUAACAAAUUGCUCAGUGAAGCUAAAAGUUUAAAGAAUUGUUGUAUCGACAAAGAAGCUUCUAUUUGUCCUAAGGUUGAGAAGAAAAACAAUGAUCACAUAUCGAAGUAUAAGGUCAACCAUGUUACACCUUUCAAAAGAUUGAGCAAUUAUGAGCCAAUGGUUUCGAUGUUUGCGAGGAGGUUAGGUGCCAUCAAACAAUGCCAACAAAAUUGAGUAGUCUACCACGCAGGACUAAUCUUCAACGAUAAAAAGGACAAAAUGUUGUCUCACAUUGGUCAUGGUCUCAUGGACAAAAUAAAGGUGUCGUCUUGAAAAUAUGUUACAUAGUAAAAAGAUGUUUCUUUAUCUAAAGAAGCAGGAAAACAUUAUCGACUGGUGCAUUAUCUCAACUCAAUUUAGUUGGUGCUGUUAUUCCAACUGAAGAUCUGAUAGUUAAAAUUAAAAAUAUGAAAAUGAUAGGUUUCUGGGCAAAAUAAGUAUCAUUAAAAUUUAUAAGCAUAAGUUUAUUCUAUUUGUAAUAGACAAUUUUUUUUUUAAUUCUUGAAUUGUAUAUGAAAAGGCAGCUUAAAAUUGAAGAUAUAUGUUGUAUAUGACUUGUAAAUAUGAAAAGAAUUGGAAUAAUACGACCUCUUGUUGAUGA